rnacentral:misc_RNA from 1 species
GAUGAAGAACGUAGCGAAAUGCGAUAAGUAAUGUGAAUUGCAGAAUUCAGUGAAUCAUCGAAUCUUUGAACGCACCUUGCGCUCCUUGGUAUUCCGAGGAGCAUGCCUGUUUGAGUGUCAUUAAAUUCUCAAUCAUUAUCAACUUUUGCUGAUAAUGGCUUGGAUGUGGGGGUCUAUUUUGCUGGCUUCUCAGAUAGUCAGCUCCCCUUAAAUGCAUUAGCCGGUGCCCCGCGUGGACUGUCUAUUGGUGUGAUAAUUAUCUACGCUAUAGACAUCUGCAAUCAUAUGGGUUUGCGCUGCUUCUAACAGUCUGUUGAUUCAGACAAUACAUGACAAUUUGACCACAAAUCAGGUAGGACUACCCGCUGAACUUAAGCAUAUCAAUAAGCGGAGGA